UACGUAGGGGGCAAGCGUUGUCCGGAAUCAUUGGGCGUAAAGCGCACGUAGGCGGCCCGGUAAGUCCGUUGUGAAAGUCAGAGGCUCAACCUCUGGAGGCCAAUGGAUACUGCCGGGCUAGAGUCCGGAAGAGGCGAGUGGAAUUCCUGGUGUAGCGGUGGAAUGCGCAGAUAUCAGGAGGAACACCAAUGGCGAAGGCAGCUCGCUGGGACGGUACUGACGCUGAG
rnacentral:rRNA from 1 species